rnacentral:rRNA from 1 species
UGAGCGGCGGACGGGUGAGUAACGCGUGGGAACGUACCCUUCUCUGCGGAAUAGCCACUGGAAACGGUGAGUAAUACCGCAUACGCCCUUCGGGGGAAAGAUUUAUCGGAGAAGGAUCGGCCCGCGUUGGAUUAGGUAGUUGGUGGGGUAAUGGCCUACCAAGCCUACGAUCCAUAGCUGGUUUGAGAGGAUGAUCAGCCACACUGGGACUGAGACACGGCCCAGACUCCUACGGGAGGCAGCAGUGGGGAAUCUUAGACAAUGGGCGCAAGCCUGAUCUAGCCAUGCCGCGUGAGUGAAGAAGGCCUUAGGGUCGUAAAGCUCUUUCGCUGGGGAAGAUAAUGACUGUACCCAGUAAAGAAACCCCGGCUAACUCCGUGCCAGCAGCCGCGGUAAUACGGAGGGGGUUAGCGUUGUUCGGAAUUACUGGGCGUAAAGCGCGCGUAGGCGGAUCAGAAAGUUGGGGGUGAAAUCCCGGGGCUCAACCUCGGAACUGCCUCCAAAACUCCUGGUCUUGAGUUCGAGAGAGGUGAGUGGAAUUCCGAGUGUAGAGGUGAAAUUCGUAGAUAUUCGGAGGAACACCAGUGGCGAAGGCGGCUCACUGGCUCGAUACUGACGCUGAGGUGCGAAAGUGUGGGGAGCAAACAGGA